rnacentral:misc_RNA from 1 species
GAUGAAGAACGCAGCGAAAUGCGAUAAGUAGUGUGAAUUGCAGAAUUCAGUGAAUCAUCGAAUCUUUGAACGCACAUUGCGCCCUUUGGUAUUCCAAAGGGCAUGCCUGUUCGAGCGUCAUUUGUACCCUCAAGCUUUGCUUGGUGUUGGGCGUCUUGUCGCUAGCUUUGCUGGAGACUCGCCUUAAAGUAAUUGGCAGCCGGCCUACUGGUUUCGGAGCGCAGCACAAGUCGCACUCUCUAUCAGCAAAGGUCUAGCAUCCAUUAAGCCUUUUUUUCAACUUUUGACCUCGGAUCAGGUAGGGAUACCCGCUGAACUUAAGCAUAUCAAUAAGCGGAGGA